CUUCACUCUACCAGAAACAACUGCUCACAGGACACAUCUGGCCCCCAUGUCUUUUUAAAUGAAAGGAAAUCAAGAUAAGGUGAAGAGGAGAUCAGUUGCCUCUGCAGAAGGUGUCUGAGAAGGAGAUGUUGAAGCUUUGCUUCUCCUUGUGCUUCUCCUCUUCCCCCAUAAGUCAUCUGAGAAGACUGCUUAAAUAUUCCACGCUGCCUUAGUGUGACUCAAAUUUCCAGCUGUUUUGCUGCCAGGAAGAACCAGGUGCCUUGGGAACAGUGAGGCUGAAAGGAGCAGGAAGCAAAGAAUGAGGCUGUUGAAGAAAUUCCACAGAUAUUUCCGUGGAAGUAUCAAGAAGACCUAGAGUAAGGCAUCAUCAAAUUGAUAGACUUGAACAAAAGGGAGGAGUGAGACAGACGGAUGGAUACAGAGCAUGGAGGCCAUACUCUUGGUAUGUCUUCAAUUCAAGCAUUCCAAAUGAAAGGAUCUGAUUGGUUUGACAACACUCCCUCUCAGGUAAAAUAUUUCCAUCGGGAAGAACUCUAGAAGCAGUCGUUUGGAUGGUCAACCUUUGGCCAGG
rnacentral:lncRNA from 1 species